GGGUGCUCCUUUUACGAUGUUUUCCCAGCAGCAUGCAGGCAGCAGUAGCUUCCUUUGAUCAUUUUUCAGUUUCUGUUAUUUGCUAGUGAGAGAAAGUUUAUACCUGCUUGUGGGGACAUGAGUGAAGAAAGAGAGGGGACUUUGAAACAAGAGAAGAGAGCAAACUCAAAAGGUUUUUCAUGGCAGCAUGUGACAAGAUGAUGCUGAAAAAUUUAUAUGGAAAUUCAAAGGAUCAAGAAUAGCUGAAACAUCACUGAAGAAGAACAAAGUGGGCUGAACUCGCUCUACUAGAUAUCAAGAUUUAUAAGCAACUACAGUAUUUAGGACAGUGUAGUAUCGGCACUGGGAGAGAAAAAAAAAAAAAAAAACUAAAAGGAAAAAGAGCCCAGAGACUGACUUUUGUGUAUGUGGACAGUUUGUUUAUGAUGAAAGUACCACUGCUAUGCACUGUGGGAAAAUGUCCUCAAAGAAUGACACUAGGGCAACUGGGUAUCCCCAUGUAAAAACAAUUAACCCUAAUCUCACAUCACACACAAAAAUCAACUCCAUUUGGGGUAUAUACUUAAAUGGAAGGUAAAACUAUUAAUAUAAAGUUUAUAGAGAAUAUUGUU
ensembl:lncRNA LINC01765 long intergenic non-protein coding RNA 1765